GGGGAGAGGCAGAGAGAGGGAGGGAGAGGGAAAGAGGGAGGGAGAGGGAGGGGGAGAGGCGGAGGGAGGGAGAGAGAUUGAGGGAGAGGG